GGUUCCCCGUGAUUUUCAAGAUAUCGGAAACAACAAAGCAAGGCCUCCCUCAUGGGAUUCAGAUUCCUACCGCGGACCUUUCAGAGGAAAGGCUGGUGGGUCCCUGCGCGGGAGUUCCCGGGAGGGUGAGCAGGCGGACGCUUCGCCCCUGAGAUGCUGACCCCGGACUCGGCUUGCCUCACAGAAACGUUUCUACGUGUCCCUGCUUCCUCCUCUGGUUCCGUUCGUCUCCGUCCUCACUGGUGUCCCCCGUGCGUCACACUGAGCUGAUUGCUGACAUGGAA